AUGUAUAGCAAUAGCUGAUUGCACCAACAAAUAGUUGAUGCAAUAUUGACUCUGUCAAAUAAAAUUCUAGGUAGAAUUAUGAUAAUGACAUUGUCUGCCUAUAUGUCUUGACCAAAUUACGUGCCAGCAGUCGCGGUAAUACGUAGAAGACUAGUGUUAUUCAUCUUUAAUAGGUUUAAAGGGUACCUAGACGGUAAAUCAAGCCUUCACAGGGACUAAUUUACUAGAGUUACUUACGAGGGGGUAUUAAAGUACUGCAGGUGUAGAGAUGAAAUUCUGUCAUACCUCUUUUCAAAAGAAAAAUUAUGGCACAGGUAUAGGUGAAAGCAUCCCCUUAUGUGAUAACUGACGUUGAAGGACGAAGGCUUUGUGUCGCGAACAGGAUUAGAUACCCCAGUAGUCAAAGCAGAAAAUGAUGAAUGUCAUAGAUUAGAUAAAUAGUUUAUUCUAUAAAUGAAAAUGUAAGCAUUCCACCUCAAGAGUAAUUUGGCAACAUUGGAACUGAAAUCAUUAGACCGUUUCUGAAACCAGUAGUGAAGUAUGUUGUUUAAUUUGAUGAUCCGCAAAAAACCUUACCACAAUUUGAAUAUUUAUAUCUAUCUUUUUUUUUCGUAAAAAAAUAAAAAGGUAAUAUAUUUACAAGCGUUGCACGGCUGUCUUCAGUUAAUGUCGCGAGACUUUGGUUAGUUCCAUUAAAUUAACGUAAACCCUUACUUUAUUUUUAUAUGAAGUAGUUCCCCGCUAUAUUGGAUAUGAUAACAGGGACUAAGACAAGUCAUCAUGGCCUGAAUGUUGUGGGCUAUAGACGUGCCACAUAAACCUUACAAAAGGGUGUGAAAUUGCGAAAUUGAGCUAAUCCCCC
rnacentral:rRNA from 1 species